GAUGAACGCUGGCGGCGUGCCUAAUACAUGCAAGUCGAGCGAACGGACGCGGAGCUUGCUUCUCUGAUGUUAGCGGCGGACGGGUGAGUAACACGUGGAUAACCUACCUAUAAGACUGGGAUAACUUCGGGAAACCGGAGCUAAUACCGGAUGAUAUUUUGAACCGCAUGGUUCAAAAGUGAAAGACGGUCUUGCUGUCACUUAUAGAUGGAUCCGCGCUGCAUUAGCUAGUUGGUAAGGUAACGGCUUACCAAGGCAACGAUGCAUAGCCGACCUGAGAGGGUGAUCGGCCACCUUGGAACUGAGCCAGGGUCCAGACUCCUACGGGAGGCAGCAGUAGGGAAUCUUCCGCAAUGGGCGAAAGCCUGACGGAGCAACGCCGCGUGAGUGAUGAAGGUCUUCGGAUCGUAAAACUCGGUUAUUAGGGAAGAACAGAUGUGUAAGUAACUGUGCACAUCUUGACGGUACCUAAUCAGAAAGCCACGGCUAACUACGUG
rnacentral:rRNA from 1 species